CCUGCCCAAGAGAUCGGGAUAACACCUGGAAACAGAUGCUAAUACCGGAUAACAACAGAUGAUGCCUAUCAACUGUUUAAAAGAUGGUUCUGCUAUCACUCUUGGAUGGACCUGCGGUGCAUUAGCUAGUUGGUAGGGUAACGGCAUACCAAGGCGAUGAUGCAUAGCCGAGUUGAGAGACUGAUCGGCCACAUUGGGACUGAGACACGGCCCAAACUCCUACGGGAGGCAGCAGGA
rnacentral:rRNA from 1 species